UACGUAGGGGGCAAGCGUUGUCCGGAUUUAUUGGGCGUAAAGAGCGUGUAGGCGGCCUUACAGGUCAGCUGUGAAAACUCGAGGCUCAACCUCGAGACGUCGGUUGAAACCGUAAGGCUAGAGUCCGGAAGAGGAGAGUGGAAUUCCCGGUGUAGCGGUGAAAUGCGCAGAUAUCGGGAAGAACACCCGUGGCGAAGGCGGCUCUCUGGACCACAACUGACGCUGAUGCACGAAAGCUAGGGGAGCAAACAGG
rnacentral:rRNA from 1 species